GACGAACGCUGGCGGCGUGCCUAAUACAUGCAAGUCGAACGAGAGCGCCCGGUGCUUGCGCUGGUCAAUCUAGUGGCGAACGGGUGAGUAACACGUGGGUAACCUGCCCAUCAGGGGGGGAUAACAUCCGGAAACGGAUGCUAAAACCGCAUAGGUCUUCGAGCCGCAUGGCUUGAAGAGGAAAAGAGGCGCAAGCUUCUGCUGAUGGAUGGACCCGCGGUGCAUUAGCUAGUUGGUGAGGUAACGGCUCACCAAGGCCGUGAUGCAUAGCCGACCUGAGAGGGUGAUCGGCCACAUUGGGACUGAGACACGGCCCAAACUCCUACGGGAGGCAGCAGUAGGGAAUCUUCCGCAAUGGACGCAAGUCUGACGGAGCAACGCCGCGUGAGUGAAGAAGGUUUUCGGAUCGUAAAACUCUGUUGUUAGAGAAGAACAAGUGCUAGAGUAACUGUUAGCGCCUUGACGGUAUCUAACCAGAAAGCCACGGCUAACUACGUG
rnacentral:rRNA from 1 species